AAUUGACAAUAUUUUCUCCACAAUGAAGAUGUGUGAAGGAGAACUUGCCUGCCCUGACGAAACGUUUGCAGCCGGCUACACGUUGGACUCCUGGGAGAGGAACACCAACAACUCCCGUUACCUUGCCAACCACCAACCAAACAAACCAGCCACCUCUGCAUCCCAACCCCAGGAAUGAACAACCAAGCACCAGCAUACAACCAGAUUUCACAGCAACAAACUAACCCCUUGGCAUCAUCAACCCCAUUCCAAAGGAAGACACCACCAACCACCAGAACACCACAACUACCUACCACAUUAGCUUUAGGCAACACUUUGGUUGAAAUUAGAGAAAGUUCAGAGUUUGGGUAAAGAGAUCUUUAUCUAACCAUAACCAAGUACCUAAACAGAACCACAGCAAGUUUCAUAAUGUAUUAAUUAAUCAAUAUUACGUUGCUACAGCUACAGCUUCUUUACAACUUAAAUGCUCAUAGAAAACACAAUCUGGACACACUGAUCAGGUUUUCCUUCUAAAAAACAUAUUAGUUGUGUGUGAAUGUCAUUUUAAGAGACAGAGUUGACCAUGAAAAGGGAAAUGGAAGGGAUGUUAAUAUUGAAAAAAAGGAUGCAGUGCAGAGUAGAGUAAAAACGGAGCCCGCAAACCUUCUGUGGGCUGAAUUCAGCUGUUUUUUGACAUGAGGGCCAGGCUCAGGGGGAGAUAAGAAGCUAACGCCCGGCUAGGGACGACUGUCGCAGGAACACAAGUUGUGUGUUUCAGCUUGUUGGGUGAUGUGGGCGUUUGUUAUGAGAGGCCACAUGCUGAUGGGCAGUGGGGGAGGUUGGGCUGAAAUUCUGUGGAAGUUACAAAUGUGAGUAUCAGGCUCAGAUAGCGACGGAGGAAGUGAUGAGAUGCUCACAUCCUUUUCAUCAGGAGGUAAAUAUUCGUGCGCGUGUGUGCGUGCAUGAGACGCGAGAGUGUGGAUGGUGUGAACUUGUUUGGGUGUCGGUUUUGCAUACUGGGUGGGUAGAGGAAGCCGUGCGUCAGGUUCCCAGCACCCUUGUACUGAUUACAGGAGGCGCUCUGGGAUGGUUGCAGUCUGACAUCAGGCCUCAAACAGUUGUUCACUGUGCAACAACCAUCCCUUCUCUCUCUCUCUAUCACUCUCUCACUCUCAACACUCAAACAUGUCCAGUUAACUUAUUAUAUAUCCAAUUUGUACAUAAAAAUAUAUUUACUGUUAUGUUACAACAAUGUGAGUGCUUUUCCUCUGUAUAUUUUUUUUUCUAGAAAACAUAUGUCUACACAACAAUCUUUGUACCUGAACAAAGUGAAUUAUCUAAAUACAUCAACCUUUGUAC